rnacentral:lncRNA from 1 species
UUUCUGCUUUCUCAUCCUGAGGAAUUAUUAAGGAAAACCACACCUGUUUCUGUUUUCUCAUCCUGAGGAAUUAUUAAGGAAAACCACACCUGUUUCUGCUUUCUCAUCCUGAGGCAUUAUUAAGGAAAACCACACCUGUUUCUGCUUUCUCACUCGCAGUGAGAGAGUUCCUGGGAGAGAUGCAGUACCCGGAGGGUUCAUUAUCAGCCCCAGCCGCUGAUGCGCUAUCAGCCUGCGGAGGAGGGAGCCCUGGGGCUUCACUAACCACGGGCUGGAGCUGCCACGCACCAGCUCCAGUGAGAUCGGGGUUUUCGUUUUCAUCCAACACUUUCAACCCAGUUUCUGAUGAAAGGGCUUCUUCCAGUCACCAGAGAAACCUGCACUAGGUGACGCUGAAGCCACAGAAGACACUGCAGUGGGAAAACCAGCAUGAGCCGCUGCCCCCAAGGAACCUCGAAGCCCAGGCAGAGGACCAGCCAUCCCAGCCCGCAGGUAAAGUGUGUCACCUGUCAGGUGGGCUUGGGGUGAGUGGGUGGGGGAAGUGUGUGUGCAAAGGGGGUGUGAGUGUGUAUGUGUGUGAGCACAUGAGUGAUGGCUAGUGUGACUGCAUGUCAGGGAGUGUGAACAAGCGUGCGAGGGUUGUGUGCAAGUGCGUAUGCAUAUGAGAAUAUGUGUCUGUGGAUGAGUGCAUUUGAAAGUCUGUGUGUGUGUGGUCAUGAGGGUAAGUUAGUGACUGAAUGCGCAGGAUGUGAGUGUGCAUGGAACACUCAGUGUGUGUGUGGCAAGUGUGUAGGCGUGUGAGGACAGGCAGAAGUGUGUCAGUGUUGUGAUGGGAGUGUGAAUGAGUGUGCAAAAAGGUGAGUGAAUGCAUGGAAGUGUGUGUCAACUAUGAAGGCAUGUAGUGUGUCAGUGUGUGCAGUGCAAGCAUGUGUGGGAAUGAGUGCUUGUUGGUGUGUCCAUAUCCAACGGGUAUGUGUGAAAGCAUGUAAAAGUGUGUGUAGUGUGAUGGUGUGUGGAUGUAUCAGUGUGUAUAAAUGAGAGCAUGUAAAUGUGUAUGUAUGAGUGUUGAGUGUGCAUAUGUGAGGCUGUGCGUGUGAGUGUAACCAUGAGGGUGUGAACGUGCUUAAGUGUAUGUGCGUGUGACAGUGCAAGUGUAGGGGUGUGAUGCAUGUGUGGGUUUGCCAGUGUAUGAGUGUACAUGGUGUGGAUCUGAAUGUGCACAGUGUAAAGGGCAUGAGUGCAAGUGUGUGUGAGUGUAUGUGAAUGAGUGGUAGUGUGCAUGCAUGUGUGAGUGCACGCUCAGAAGCAUGGAUGGGUGCAAGCCUCCCCUACUAACUCCUCCUCCUUCCUGAGAUCAAAAAAGUAUGUGUUUUCUGUGUUUCAAAAAUGUUUUAAAAUUAUGUACUGUAUUUAAUAGCUCUUAUGACUACAGUGUUUUUCUCUCUGCUUA